AGCGAACGUUAGCGGCGGGCCUAACACAUGCAAGUCGAACGGGCUGUAGCAAUACAGUCAGUGGCGCACGGGUGCGUAACGCGUAGAUAAUCUACCUCUCAGUGGGGGAUAACUAGGGGAAACUCUAGCUAAUACCGCAUAAGACCACGGAGUCUUCGGGCUUUGAGGGAAAAGGCGGCCUCUGAAUAUGCUGUCGCUGGGAGAUGAGUCUGCGUCCCAUCAGCUAGUUGGUGAGGUAAUGGCUCACCAAGGCAAAGACGGGUAGCUGGUCUGAGAGGAUGAUCAGCCACACUGGCACUGGAACACGGGCCAGACUCCUACGGGAGGCAGCAGUGGGGAAUAUUGGGCAAUGGGCGGAAGCCUGACCCAGCCACGCCGCGUGAGUGAUGAAGGCC
rnacentral:rRNA from 1 species